UUAAGCAUAUCAAUAAGC
rnacentral:rRNA from 2 species